AAAGUCGUAACAAGGUUUCCGUAGGUGAACCUGCGGAAGGAUCAUCAGCGAAGCUUUUUGUCCGCCACCGCGAAAAGCGGUGGCCAGACCCCGGGAAGGGAGGUCAUCCCUCUUUUGGUCUGAACUGAAUCUUGAUAGUCGCUCUGCUUUCAUCGCUUCCGUGCGUCGUGCCAACGCGCAGGGAGGGGAAAAAAAAAAAACCACAAAAACACAAUACAACUUUUGACAACGGAUCUCUUGGCUCUC
rnacentral:misc_RNA from 1 species